rnacentral:rRNA from 1 species
GAUGAACGCUAGCUACAGGCUUAACACAUGCAAGUCGCGGGGUAACAUCUGGGAGAGCUUGCUCUUCCAGGAUGACGACCGGCGCACGGGUGAGUAACGCGUAUCCAACCUGGCCCAUACCACGGGAUAGCCCGUCGAAAGGCGGAUUAAUACCGUAUGCUGUCAUUAAGAGGCAUUUUUUGAUGACGAAAGGACUGGCGGUAUGGGAUGGGGAUGCGUCUGAUUAGCUUGUUGGCGGGGUAACGGCCCACCAAGGCGACGAUCAGUAGGGGUUCUGAGAGGAAGGUCCCCCACAUUGGAACUGAGACACGGUCCAAACUCCUACGGGAGGCAGCAGUGAGGAAUAUUGGUCAAUGGGCGUAAGCCUGAACCAGCCAAGUAGCGUGAGGGAAGACUGCCCUACGGGUUGUAAACCUCUUUUGUUUGGGAAUAAAGUGCGGGACGCGUCCCGCAUUGCAUGUACCAUUUGAAUAAGGACCGGCUAAUUCCGUG